rnacentral:siRNA from 1 species
UUAACUAUGGCUCGAGAUUA